GCUUCAUUUCUGCAUUCUUGUCAUGCCAAUCAUUCAUUUCAUUCAGCCUAGAGGAUCGCUGUGCAUCUCUGUCUCUGUCCCUGCCCCCCGUCCUUGGUAACCUGAGCUAUGUGCAACCCCAUACAGCAGCGGCGUUGAAGACAGACAGCACAAUGAAUGACAGCUCCAGUCAAAACAGCACGGGUGUGUCAUUCACACAAUAGAUCUCUUACUCAAGGCUCAUCUAUCAUAUCCCACUGAUGGAGUAAAUAGAUCCUACUGUCUAAGGACUGAAUGGCUCAUGGAACCACAGUAAAUUGAAGUUCCAAUCUGGUCGGAGCAGCACAGAAAUCAAGACUGACAACAAGCUGUGUGAGUCUGACAUGAACGUCAAAAUGAAGGUAAGAGAUUUACCGUGGGGAUGACUUAUACUAGAUAAAUGAAACUGAAUCUGCCUCUGCCUUGUAAGUCACACAGCCGUUACUAAUUGAAACUGCUAAUCAACCACGCCUUAUACUAGUCAUCUUUAGGUGGUCUCACUGGGAGUUCUGACCCUUGUCAUCUCCUGCAGGAAAGGGGAUGAGGAGGGGCCAAAACCUUAUUAGGAAUGUCUGCUUACUGGGA